rnacentral:tRNA from 1 species
GCGGAAGUGGUGUAAUGUAACACACUCGGUCACCAGCCGAGAGAUUGAAGGUUCAAGUCCUUCCUUUCGCU